UCUAUGUAUGGGGUUUAUCAUCAUUGCCCUACAUAUAUCUCAACCCCCCCCCCCCCCUCAAGUUGAAGGGGGGAAACCACCAUCAACUUGGACAAAAGUGGAAAAAGAGUAGUUAUGAACAGCAGCCUGACUAUCACAAAAGACAGAAAUAGGAGAAGGAACAUAUACCCCAAGGUCUUCAAGUAAACGGGAGAGCCAAGUUAAUUCAGCUGUAACCUUGCAAAGAGCUCUGUAUUCGGCCUCAGCAGAAGAAAGAGAGACAACAGGUUGUUUUUUCGACUUCCAACUAAUUAAACUGCCACCCAAAAGUACACAAAAACCAGUAACAGAACGUCUAGUAUCAGGGCAAGCAGCCCAGUCACUGAAGUUAAUUCAGCUGUAACCUUGCUAAGAGCUCUGUAUUCGGCCUCAGCAGAAGAAAGAGAGACAACAGGUUGUUUUUUCGACUUCCAACUAAUUAAACUGCCACCCAAAAGUACACAAAAACCAGUAACAGAACGUCUAGUAUCAGGGCAAUCAGCCCAGUCACUGUCAGAAUAUCCAGUCACAGAAUAAUCAUCAACAGCAGAAUAAAACAAACCCAAAGAAGAAGUGCCUUUUAAGAUAUCUCAAAACAUGCAUGGCAGCAGACAUAUGGGGAACCCUUGGGCAUUUAAGAAA
rnacentral:lncRNA from 1 species